GUCCUCGUAGAUCAACGGUUAGAUCGUUCUCACUUGAUCGGCAGUGAAUCCUGUUUCAGAGGAAGGCGCGGGUUCGAGUCCCGCCGAGGGCA